rnacentral:rRNA from 1 species
GCUGACGAGUGGCGAACGGGUGAGUAAUACAUCGGAACGUGCCCGAUCGUGGGGGAUAACGGAGCGAAAGCUUUGCUAAUACCGCAUACGAUCUACGGAUGAAAGCAGGGGACCGCAAGGCCUUGCGCGGACGGAGCGGCCGAUGGCAGAUUAGGUAGUUGGUGGGAUAAAAGCUUACCAAGCCGACGAUCUGUAGCUGGUCUGAGAGGACGACCAGCCACACUGGGACUGAGACACGGCCCAGACUCCUACGGGAGGCAGCAGUGGGGAAUUUUGGACAAUGGGCGAAAGCCUGAUCAGCCAUGCCGCGUGCAGGAUGAAGGCCUUCGGGUUGUAAACUGCUUUUGUACGGAACGAAAAGACUCCUUCUAAUAAAGGGGGUCCAUGACGGUACCCGUAAGAAUAAGCACCGGCUAACUACGUGCCAGCAGCCCGCGGUAAUACGUAGGGUGCAAGCGUUAAUCCGGAAUUACUGGGCGUAAAGCGUGCGCAGGCGGUUAUAUAAGACAGAUGUGAAAUCCCCGGGCUCAACCUGGGAACUGCAUUUGUGACUGUAUAGCUAGAGUACCGGCAGAGGGGGAUGGAAUUCCGCGUGUAGCAGUGAAAUGCGUAGAUAUGCGGAGGAACACCCAUGGCGAAGGCAAUCCCCUGGGCCUGUACUGACGCUCAUGCACGAAAGCGUGGGGAGCAAACAGGAUUA